AGUGAACGCUGGCGGUAGGCCUAACACAUGCAAGUCGAACGGCAGCACAGUAAGAGCUUGCUCUUACGGGUGGCGAGUGGCGGACGGGUGAGGAAUACAUCGGAAUCUACUUUUUCGUGGGGGAUAACGUAGGGAAACUUACGCUAAUACCGCAUACGACCUACGGGUGAAAGCAGGGGAUCUUCGGACCUUGCGCGAUUGAAUGAGCCGAUGUCGGAUUAGCUAGUUGGCGGGGUAAAGGCCCACCAAGGCGACGAUCCGUAGCUGGUCUGUGAGGAUGAUCAGCCACACUGGAACUGAGACACGGUCCAUACUCCUACGGGAGGCAGCAGUGGGGAAUAUUGGACAAUGGGCGCAAGCCUGAUCCAGCCAUACCGCGUGGGUGAAGAAGGCCUUCGGGUUGUAAAGCCCUUUUGUUGGGAAAGAAAAGCAGCAGGUUAAUACCCCGCUGUUCUGACGGUACCCAGAGAAUAAGCACCGGCUAACUUCGUG
rnacentral:rRNA from 1 species